UUUAGGGACGAUUACUUUGCCAAAAAAAAUGAAGAAAGAAAACAAAAUAAAGUGGAAGCUAAAUUAAGAGCUAAACAGUAAGUAUGUUGAACUAAUCACGACAUAAUUUGAAUUCCUUAAAGCUCUGACAGAAAUAUAGCUGGUGAGCUCUGAAAUAGUGGCAGUAGACCUUUCUCUUUGCUAGUGAAACACUGAGAUCUUAAGCUGCCUUGACAAUCUCAGGGCCAAAUUGCAUUGCAGUCUAGCAUUGGACGAUCAAAAAAACCUAAGGACUUCUGGCUUUGGUUAAGUAAGUUUAGUGAUCAUGAUUGGUUAACUUUAUUAGGACUUAAUUUUCUUAUAUAGUAAAUAGAAGUAUGUUAUAAUUAUGAUAUUUUUAUUUGUAGGGAGCAAGAAGCAAAACAAAAGUUAGAAGAAGAUGCUGAAAUGAAAUCUCUAGAAGAAAAGAUUGGAUGCUUGCUGAAAUUUUCGGGUGAUUUAGAUGAUCAGACCUGUAGAGAAGAUUUACACAUACUUUUCUCAAAUCAUGGUGAAAUAAAAUGGAUAGACUUCGUCAGAGGAGCAAAAGAGGGGAUAAUUCUAUUUAAAGAAAAAGCCAAGGAAGCAUUGGGUAAAGCCAAAGAUGCAAAUAAUGGUAACCUACAAUUAAGGAACAAAGAAGUGACUUGGGAAGUACUAGAAGGAGAGGUGGAAAAAGAAGCACUGAAAAAAAUAAUAGAAGACCAACAAGAAUCCCUAAACAAAUGGAAGUCAAAAG
rnacentral:sRNA from 1 species